UCUGUGAUUUCCUGAUUUGUGUUCUAGUAUCCGACUGUUGGGCCAUUUAUUGUAUUUUAUCUUAUUCUAUUUUAUCCAUAGAGUCGAAGAUUCAUGGGGUAAAACAAUGAAUAAAGAAAAAUUCUUACAAAUGGAUCGUUUGAAUGAUGAUCAAGCAUCAAUGUACUUGCUCACAAACAAGCAUCUAUGUAUUUGUUCACAAAAAAGGGGACCGACUCUCAUUGUAGCCCAGUCCUUUGUUGUAUAGAAGGCCUUAACCUGCCCAUCAGUUUACUUUAAGCUUUGAAGCCAGCAAGAAAAGCUUUGAAGCUAGCAAGCAAUCGGCUGAGAGAGUAGUUGCGGAGAUCGACUCCAGUGGUCUUACUUUUCCUUAGAAAAGUAUCUUUUAAAUUUUAUUCCAAAAAAUCUUAUCUACAGUCAUUUCCAUGAUAAUUUUAGACGGCUCUUGCUUCUGACCAUUGACCUCAGGCUCAUUUUGAUGGCAAUUAAUUUGAAAAACAAACAAUGUACAUUUUGACCUCCUUGCUUCUUCCUUUUUUUUUUUUUUUUUUUUUGGGUCUUUUUUGUUUUUGUUUGACGUUGAUCCAUUUCCAGGAAGUUUUCAUAUCCAUGCUUAAAUGACAUCCUACUCAACAGGGCCCAUAAAAAUCUUGUAAUUGAUUACACGUUUCUCAAGGGUGAACAUGUACACACAAGAUGGAGAAGGGCCCUACUGAUAUGUGCUACCAUGAUAUGUAGGACCAGAGCUAUUCAUCAGGCAGGACGUCUAGGGAGAACAUUCCUUGACCAAAAAUCAGCCGUCUGGUCAUCUGGUCUUGGAGUCAAUUCUACAAGAAAAUUUCUUUCCCAAUGACACCAACUUGCAUUUGGACGGUGAAUACUGUCGGAUCAUUACGGGACCAAACAUGGGUGGAAAGAGCUGUUACAUUCGUCUGGUUGCUCUCAUUGCUAUCAUGGCUCAGCAUCCUCAGCAAAGUUUCAUGUGUUAGAUGGAAUUUAUACCCGUAUUGGAGCAUCUGACAGUAUCCAACGAGGAAUGAGCACCUUCUUUAAGGAACUGAGUGAGGCAUUUUCCCUGGCUUUUGCUUUCUUUUUUAUUUAACCAUUUGUUUGUAGCUGUCGAUCAAAGGAUUAGG